GACGAACGCUGGCGGCGUGCCUAAUACAUGCAAGUUGAGCGAUGAAGAUUGGUGCUUGCACCAAUUUGAAGAGCAGCGAACGGGUGAGUAACGCGUGGGGAAUCUGCCUUUGAGCGGGGGACAACAUUUGGAAACGAAUGCUAAUACCGCAUAACAACUUUAACCAUAAGUUUUAAGUUUGAAAGAUGCAAUUGCAUCACUCAAAGAUGAUCCCGCGUUGUAUUAGCUAGUUGGUGAGGUAAAGGCUCACCAAGGCGAUGAUACAUAGCCGACCUGAGAGGGUGAUCCGCCACAAUGGGACUGAGACACGGCCCAAACUCCUACGGGAGGCAGCAGUAGGGAAUCUUCGGCAAUGGACGAAAGUCUGACCGAGCAACGCCGCGUGAGUGAAGAAGGGUUUCGGAUCGUAAAACUCUGUUGGUAGAGAAGAACGUUGGUGAGAGUGGAAAGCUCAUCAAGUGACGGUAACUACCCAGAAAGGGACGGCUAACUACGUG
rnacentral:rRNA from 1 species